AUAACACUCUAAUUUGCAACAUUUUGUUGCAUUAAAGGUUGUGCAUCAAGCUUGGUUGAUGUCUCAGGCAGUAAAGAUUGUACACAUUGUUUAAAGUCAUGUACUACUUGACCUUAACUUUUCCCUACUUGUACAUAAAAGAAAAUGAGAUGCAAACUUUAGACUUUAGAGAGAGAGAGUAGUCUGAGAAAGUAGAGAGAGAGAGAGCAGCAAAGAAAAAGGAUCCGAUGGGUUCCGGCCGCCGGUGAUGGCGGAGCCAUGGUGCCUUUAGAUGGAGCUACAACAGUGAUGGUCUAGGUGGUGUCGGGUUGGAGAAAGAAACAACAGUGGUGGUGCUAGGGUUUGAUAGAGGAUGAUGGUGGGUUCUCCCCUUUCUCCGACGAAGGAGCCGACAACGGUAGUGAUGGCCGGCCAUGAUGAAGACGAUGGUGUUUCUUUUGUUGAGAAGUGACGGUGGUAGUGAUGGUCGGGAAGACGAUGGUGUUUCUUUUGUUGAGAAGUGGCGGUGGAGACAGAUUAGGGUUUCGCGAUGUCUUCUGGUAUAGUUCAUGCCAAACUCAGGUAAGGUUCGACUCUAUUAGUAUUCCGUAAAACUGAGCCACUUUGUCGUCUUUACCAAAGAAAUUAUAUAUUCUUAUGUUACCCUUAAAAAAUAACUGAAUUUGACUUAAUAGUGACCGUUUGAUCAAGCUGAGAUGAGAUAUCCGCCGUGUAAAUUAACCCAAUUCUUCUAGAAGGAGCAGUUUUUCAGCGGUUGUAACUUGUAUGUUGUAACCUCCUGUUUUUGAGGAUGAACCUGGGUAACCAGAAUCAUGUAUUUUAAUAGGCCACUCCGAUGUGAUUCAAAUAUUUCUUUUGAUGUUUGAUUUGCCAUAUGAAGCUGUAUCAACACUCUUUUAACCCACUCGGUGGCGCAUGAUGUUCACUCAACUCUAUCAAAGACGCCCGCCACCGGCGUUGACGUAGCGGUGGUGAAUAGUGAAUUGGAGACGGACCCACCCGAAGGUUCUGUGGAAGGGGUACACUGAAUGUCUGUACCAGCAUAAAGAACUAGGCUUGUAUUUGGAUGUGAGCCGGGUCAGGUUUACAUAUGGGUUUGUGAGGGAGAUGGAGCCUAGGUUUGCUAAGGCGAUGGAGGAGCUUGAAAAGGGGAUGAUUUUAAACCCAUCGUACCCGACACGACCCCAAUCGCAGAUUGCAAGGUUACCAUUUAAAGAACAUCAAAUAUGAUAGCUGGAGUUCAAAUUUCAUCCUGCUUGUAUAGAGAUGACACCAGAGGAGGCUAAACAGAUAUGGCUAAUGCAAUUGUCUUGGCAGACUGAUUUCUUGUAAAACUACAAUCUUUAAACUGUGAGUAUUUUGUUUCUCCCAAUCACACACUUCAUCCAUACGCUGCUUCUAAAAUAGAUAAUUUUUUGUUUCAUUAUAUCUUUAUUAUCUAUAUGUUUGUUUAAAAUUGAUGAAUUACUAAUUUAAUAAAUUAGAGUGAUAAUAAUUAUAUUUGAUCUCGUGUGGGACUAAUUGACAUGUAGGUAACUCGAAAGGCCCUCAUGUUUUUUUUUUGAACGACCAACAAAAUUAAUCCCUAGCACUCUCGGGGCACCCACUGCACCAAACAGAGUACCCCGAGGGUAAUCCAAGUCCAACACCAAUUCCAGAGAAAGGCUCUCAUGUUGGCUGGCUGAAAUAUUUGAUUAUGUCCACUUUUCAAGUCCUUACAAAAUCAAGUCGAGGCGUGUGUGAGUGUGUGUAUAUAUUUCUGUUUCAUUAUGUUAGUUAGAGAAAAUAUACUUUUCUAAUUAUGAAUUAAUAAACAAAUUUCAAAGUAGGCUGAUUUAGGUUGUGGUUUAUCUGCAGUGGAGUAGUGGGUCAAGUAGGAAAGGUAACUUCAAAAAGAACAUGUCAAAUGGUUGAAAUUCAUCUCAAAUGUAUUUUUAAUGUUUAUCGUCUCCCACAUUGUAUUAAUUAAAAAAUAGAAUAUUACGGUACAACAAAGCUAUUGUAGGCGUUCUAACAAGUAUUGAUACAUAGCUUGGAGGUUAGGUGAGUUUAUUUAUUUACUUUUACGAUUAUUGUUAUUAUUAUAUGUUUUGGUUUACUAAAUGGCCUGAAAAUGUUCUAAAAUGCAGUAUGCAGUAUGGUGACGGAACCCAUAUCAGUUGGUUUGAACGUUGGUCUUGACAUUGUUAGGGGAAGCUCCAGUUUUCUUUGUUGAUGAUUUACGUACAUGCCAAUAUUUUAAAUAGAUAACAUCUGAAACUAAAGGAAUCUGAAACAACCAUUAUUGUUGGGAAUAAGAAGAUAGUAUGAUGUUAGAAUUCUAA